rnacentral:rRNA from 1 species
UACAGAGACUGCAAGCGUUAUUCGGAUUCACUGGGCGUAAAGGGUGCGCAGGCGGCCGAGUGUGUGAGGCGUGAAAGCCCGGGGCUUAACCCCGGAAUUGCACCUCAAACUACACGGCUAGAGCAUUGGAGAGGGUAGCAGAAUUCAUGGUGUAGCAGUGAAAUGCGUAGAUAUCAUGAGGAAUACCAGAGGCGAAGGCGGCUACCUGGACAAUUGCUGACGCUCAGGCACGAAAGCGUGGGGAGCAAUCCGG